GAUGAACGCUGGCGGCGUGCCUAAUACAUGCAAGUCGAGCGAACGGACGAGAAGCUUGCUUCUCUGAUGUUAGCGGCGGACGGGUGAGUAACACGUGGAUAACCUACCUAUAAGACUGGGAUAACUUCGGGAAACCGGAGCUAAUACCGGAUAAUAUUUUGAACCGCAUGGUUCAAAAGUGAAAGACGGUCUGCUGUCACUUAUAGAUGGAUCCGCGCUGCAUUAGCUAGUUGGUAAGGUAACGGCUUACCAAGGCAACGAUGCAUAGCCGACCUGAGAGGGUGAUCGGCCACACUGGAACUGAGACACGGUCCAGACUCCUACGGGAGGCAGCAGUAGGGAAUCUUCCGCAAUGGGCGAAAGCCUGACGGAGCAACGCCGCGUGAGUGAUGAAGGUCUUCGGAUCGCAAAACUCUGUUAUUAGGGAAGAACAUAUGUGUAAGUAACUGUGCACAUCUUGACGGUACCUAAUCAGAAAGCCACGGCUAACUACGUG
rnacentral:rRNA from 1 species